rnacentral:tRNA from 1 species
GCCCCCCUGGCGGAAUGGUAGACGCAGAGGAUUCAAAAUCCUCCGUUGCAAGACGUGCCGGUUCGAGUCCGGCGGGGGGCA